rnacentral:rRNA from 1 species
AGUGAACGCUGGCGGCAGGCCUAACACAUGCAAGUCGAGCGGCAGCGCGUCCGACCACCCUCGGGUGGUCGGAUGGCGGCGAGCGGCGGACGGGUGAGGAAUGCAUCGGAAUCUGCCUCGUUGUGGGGGAUAACGUAGGGAAACUUACGCUAAUACCGCAUACGACCUACGGGUGAAAGUGGGGGACCUUCGGGCCUCACGCGAUGAGAUGAGCCGAUGCCGGAUUAGCUAGUUGGCGGGGUAAAGGGCCACCAAGGCGACGAUCCGUAGCUGGUCUGAGAGGAUGAUCAGCCACACUGGAACUGAGACACGGUCCAGACUCCUACGGGAGGCAGCAGUGGGGAA